rnacentral:rRNA from 1 species
CCUACGGGUUGCAGCAGUGGGGAAUAUUGCACAAUGGGCGCAAGCCUGAUGCAGCCAUGCCGCGUGUGUGAAGAAGGCCUUCGGGUUGUAAAGCACUUUCAGCGGGGAGGAAGGCGAUAAGGUUAAUAACCUUGUCGAUAGACGUUACCCGCAGAAGAAGCACCGGCUAGCUCCGUGCCAGCAGCCGCGGUAAUACGGAGGGCGCAAGCGUUAAUCGGAAUUACUGGGCGUAAAGCGCACGCAAGCGGUCUGUCAAGUCGGAUGUGAAAUCCCCGGGCUCAACCUGGGAACUGCAUUCGAAACUGGCAGGCUAGAGUCUUGUAGAGGGGGGUAGAAUUCCAGGUGUAGCGGUGAAAUGCGUAGAGAUCUGGAGGAAUACCGGUGGCGAAGGCGGCCCCCUGGACAAAGACUGACGCUCAGGUGCGAAAGCGUGGGGAGCAAACAGGAUUAGAUACCCGAGUAGUC